GAUCAUGGCUCAGGAUGAACGCUAGCGGCAGGCUUAACACAUGCAAGUCGAGGGGCAGCGGGAUGUAGCAAUACAUUGCCGGCGACCGGCGGAUGGGUGCGUAACGCGUAUGCAACCUACCUUAUACAGGGGAAUAACCUUUCGAAAGGGAGACUAACACCCCAUAGUAUUGAUUUAAGGCAUCUUAGAUUAAUUAAAUAUUUAUAGGUAUAAGAUGGGCAUGCGUAUGAUUAGCUAGUUGGUAAGGUAACGGCUUACCAAGGCGACGAUCAUUAGGGGUUCUGAGAGGAAGGUCCCCCACACUGGUACUGAGACACGGACCAGACUCCUACGGGAGGCAGCAGUGAGGAAUAUUGGUCAGUGGGCGCAAGCCUGAACCAGCCAUGCCGCGUGCAAGGAAGACGGCCUUAUGGGUUGUAAACUGCUUUUACAUAAGACUAACCGUAUAUUUGCGAAUAUACCUGAAUGUAUUAUGAGAAUAAGGAUCGGCUAACUCCGUGCCAGCCGCGGC
rnacentral:rRNA from 1 species